GACGAACGCUGGCGGCGUGCUUAACACAUGCAAGUCGAACGGAGCACCCUUGAUUGAGGUUUCGGCCAAAUGAUAGGAAUGCUUAGUGGCGGACUGGUGAGUAACGCGUGAGGAACCUGCCUUUCAGAGGGGGACAACAGUUGGAAACGACUGCUAAUACCGCAUAAGCCCACGACCCGGCAUCGGGAAGAGGGAAAAGGAGCAAUCCGCUUUGAGAUGGCCUCGCGUCCGAUUAGCUAGUUGGUGAGGUAACGGCCCACCAAGGCGACGAUCGGUAGCCGGACUGAGAGGUUGAACGGCCACAUUGGGACUGAGACACGGCCCAGACUCCUACGGGAGGCAGCAGUGGGGAAUUUUGGACAAUGGGGGCGAACCCUGAUCCAGCCAUGCCGCGUGCAGGAUGAAGGCCUCGGUUGG
rnacentral:rRNA from 1 species